rnacentral:rRNA from 1 species
GAUAUUGUAAUUGAAAAAUCAUUGUUGUUGUUGUAUCUUUUAGAUUUAAUUUUUUAUACUAUAGUUUAUUUGUACUGUGAGGGUUUGAUGUUAUUUAAUAUUUUUUUAAAAGUUGAUUUUGUUUAUUGUACCUUGUGUAUCAGGGUUUAUUGAAUUUUAUUAUUUAUUUUUAUUUCCCGAUUUUAAGGGAGUUAAUAGUUUAUUUUAGUUACUGUUUCAUUAGUAUUAAUAAUAUUCUGUUGGUAGUGAAAUGUUAUUCGUCUUUAGUGGUUUCUGGUUUUUCAAGAAAUGAAUUUAAUUCAUGCAUUUUAUUUAAUUUUUAUUUUUAUUUUAUUUUGUUUUAUUUGAUGUUAAGAUUAAGGGGGAUUAGCUCCUUGUUUUUUAUUUAUAAUUUUAUGUUUUAUUUAAUUUUGUGGAUUUUAUAUUGAUUUUCAAUUUGAUUAUGUUAAAAUUUUAUUUGUUUUUUUGUUUAUUUAUGUUUGAUUUAAUUUUUUUAUUGAAGUUUUUAUUGUAUUUUUAUUUGUAUGGUAAUUAUUAUAUAAUUAGUAAAUUUUUCUUUUAUGUUUAUUUUUAUUAAUGGUAGGUUCUUCUAAGGAAUUAGGCAAAAAUUUAUGUCCGCCUGUUUAACAAAAACAUCUUUUCUCGUUAGUUUUUGAAGUAUGGCCUGCCCACUGACUUUGCGUUGAAGGGCCGCGGUAUUUUGACCGUGCAAAGGUAGCAUAAUCAUUAGUUCUUUAAUUGUGAUCUGGUAUGAAUGGCUUGACGAGACAUGAACUGUCUUAGUGUUUUGGAUUAUUUAUUGAAUUUGGUUUUUGAGUUAAAAUUCUUAAAUGUUUUUAUGGGACGAGAAGACCCUAUAGAGUUUUACAUUUUUGUUAUUCUUUUUUAUUUGUUUGUUUUAUUAUUGAUGAUUAAUUUAGAUGUUUUGUUGGGGUGAUGAGAGGAAUAAAGUUUAACUCCUCUUUAGUGGUUUAUAUUUAUUUAUAUUUUUUUGAUCCAUUUAUUUUGAUUAUAAGAUUAAAUUACCUUAGGGAUAACAGCGUUAUCUUUCUUGAGAGUUCUUAUUGGCGGAAAGGUUUGCGACCUCGAUGUUGGAUUAAGGUUAAUUUCCGGUGCAGGAGCUGGAAUAAUUGGGUCUGUUCGACCUUUAAAAUCUUACAUGAUCUGAGUUCAGACCGGCGUGAGCCAGGUUGGUUUCUAUCUAUAAUAUAGUUUUAUAUCUUAGUACGAGAGGACCGGAUAUUUGGAAUAAUUUUGUUUAUAUGAUUUUUAUUAAUAUUGGCUAUUUUGGCAGAUAAGUGCAU